AGAUUGAACGCUGGCGGCAUGCCUUACACAUGCAAGUCGAACGGUAACAGGUUAAGCUGACGAGUGGCGAACGGGUGAGUAAUAUAUCGGAACGUGCCCAGUAGUGGGGGGAUAGCCCGGCGAAAGCCGGAUUAAUACCGCAUACGACCUACGGGUGAAAGCGGGGGAUCGCAAGACCUCGCGCUAUUGGAGCGGCCGAUAUCAGAUUAGCUAGUUGGUGGGGUAAAAGCUCACCAAGGCGACGAUCUGUAGCUGGUCUGAGAGGACGACCAGCCACACUGGGACUGAGACACGGCCCAGACUCCUACGGGAGGCAGCAGUGAGGAAUUUUCCGCAAUGGGCGAAAGCCUGACGGAGCGACGCCGCGUGUGGGAAGAAGGCCUUCGGGUCGUAAACCACUGUCGAAGGGAAGAUAUUGACGGUACCCUUGGAGGAAGCCCCGGCUAACUACGUGCCAGCAGCCGC
rnacentral:rRNA from 1 species